rnacentral:rRNA from 1 species
AGCGAACGCUGGCGGCAGGCCUAACACAUGCAAGUCGAACGAACCUUUCGGGGUUAGUGGCGGACGGGUGAGUAACACGUGGGAACGUGCCUUUAGGUUCGGAAUAACUCAGGGAAACUUGUGCUAAUACCGAAUGUGCCCUUCGGGGGAAAGAUUUAUCGCCUUUAGAGCGGCCCGCGUCUGAUUAGCUAGUUGGUUGAGGUAAUGGCUCACCAAGGCGACGAUCAGUAGCUGGUCUGAGAGGAUGAUCAGCCACAUUGGGACUGAGACACGGCCCAAACUCCAACGGGAGGCAGCAGUGGGGAAUCUUGCGCAAUGGGCGAAAGCCUGACGCAGCCAUGCCGCGUGAAUGAUGAAGGUCUUAGGAUUGUAAAAUUCUUUCACCGGGGACGAUAAUGACGGUACCCGGAGAAGAAGCCCCGGCUAACUUCGUG